rnacentral:lncRNA from 1 species
GAGUUGUGACCUUCAUAUCCAAGAAUAACAUUAAUCAACUAUAUUUAUUAUAAUUUGCCAGAUCGUCGUAGUGGCCAUAUGAAAUGCAUAUCAAUUUUGAAUAACUCGUGAGGAUAAUGAUACGCAAUUUGCGUGUAUAACCUAAAACUUAUCAUUCUUUGCCUCUAACGAAAAUCUCUACCGACAUAAUAAUUGAAAAGCGAUAAUGAGAUCUUUUGACAAAUUACUCUGAAUAUAAAUUAUUCUUUAUUCUGCUUUCGACUUUAGAUAUAGAACGUUAUUGUCAGACUUCCCGUCAAAUGUUUGGGGAUACAUAUUUUAGCUACAAUAGUCCGAAAAUAAAGUUUGAAUCGUGAAAUAUGUUACCUAGUGGAAAAAAUAACUGGUUAAGGUUACUGCAGUUAUAGUUUAUAAAUCUGAUCAGAAAAUUCAAUUUUACGAAUAUGAAUAAUCACAUCAACAUUUGUGAAGUAGUAUUCCGAAACAAGACAGAAAAAAUUAUGCCGAUUGUGAUUCAGCUAAGAUUGUAUUAAAGGAUCUUCAAAGUGACUACACAACUUAGUUGGCGUGCGGAAAGUUUGCUGUAUAAUUUUACCAGUAACACUGUUGAAAGCUACAAUGCUAUCGUCAGAAAGUUCAACAAAGAAAAGCGUAUUCAUUGCCGAACAGGACAUUCCUGUAACACUCAGUGCGCUGGGGAUGUUGUACAAUUCAAAAUACCAGAGUCGUACUCAAAGUUGAGUGUUACGAUGGAAAAGAAUCCGACUACCGAAUUUCAACUACAAGCAAUAUUUUUAAUCAUCUCAAUUAUGAUAUGAAAUUAAGGAACGCAGUAAAACUAAAAAAGAUGAAGUACUUUGAUCUUCAAAAAACUGCUGUGUCACGUAUAUACUGAACAUGAUUGAGAGCUGCAGCUUAUUUACUUGAUGGCUUGAACACAGCCUGGAAGAUCGAAAAGGCACCGAAUGAAUCCAGUAAUGGUUCCAAGAAAGCACUGAGUUGAAAAUGGACAAAAUUGUACGAAGUGAGUACUGCAAGACAACUUUGAGGGAGUCUAGAAUGUGUACGGUAACAGCUCGAAAAUGGUGUGAUGUGGGAAAACUAAAACCCUAAAGGUGAUAGUCUGCAGUAUGGAAAUGCGACGAAGAUGGUAUGGAGUGACUGUACAGAGCUUACAAUUAGUGAUCAUACUGGAUGACAGGACCUCUGACGCUGAGGGUUGAUUGAUGCAUGUCAGGUACACGCUGGAUUUUGAGAGGGCCAUCGGCUUGACAAUACAAGAAGCAAAUCAUGUAGCAUUAUUUAGUAUAAUUAUUAGACUCAUCCUUAAAAAAGUCAUUUUUGUAUUUGAACCGGCACAGCACUUCCUGGAUCGGUUAAAAAGGAAUUAGAAAAGAUUAGCCUAAAAUUUGAACAUUCUAGUUUAACUAAAACGGGUGCCUGUGAGCAUGAAUUCAUUUUGAGUUUUGAAUUUGGGCAGGGUCGCUAAUAAUCACUGAUGAUGAAAAAUCUAUGUGAAAAAUGAACUACUGCAUCAGCUAUUUGAACAAUAUUUCCAUUCUAGCCGGGAAAUGAGGAAGAAAACAUAGCUUUGUACGUUGACACUCCUGAAACAAUUCAAACCAUGGCAGAAAAAUUCUUGGAAUAUUGAGGAUAAAAAAAAGAUGAAUCAUUUAUAAUGCAAUCACAAAUCAAUCAGUCAUUCCCAAUUCGCACUCAUUAUUCAUUACUUGAAGUUGGCGAUCGAUCAUCGUCAUCGAGUGUAUUUGUUUAUCUCUAAUAUUCGAAGAAUUUUCUCUUCUUUUAUUUGUACCCAAUCUGGAUAUCUUUUCCAGAUAAGCUUUCUAAGGACCACUCUAAUGAUAUAUGAUAUUUGUGUUGAACUAUUUUUGAAAACAUUGUUUGCAAAUUGUUUUAACUAAUAGUAAGUAGGAUAAAAAAAUUUACAAUUAAUUAUCCUGUAUACUUCGAUACUAAUAUAAAUGCGUACUUCUGUUCUAUUUCAAAAUAUUGAUGGAUCUAUUUGGUAAUCCUAUUCUUUUUAAAGACCAGUGUCAGGCUACGUUAUUAUGUCGAAUAGUGACAUACUUCAGUGUAAGCAAUUAUUACUAUGAAUUAUCAAUAAGUUUGUCAUUGACUUAUUCUUUUGAAUUGAACAAGCUGUUACAUACGUUGAUUAGAAAUGAUGUAGUUUUCAGUUCUGGAACACAAUACAGAAAUAAAAGCAAAAAAACUA